AGAAAUUUAGGUUACCGAAACCAAGAGCCUUCAAAGCCCUAAACGGGAUAGACCAUCCCAAUUUCUG
rnacentral:tRNA from 1 species